AACGUAGGACGCAAGCGUUAUCCGGAGUUACUGGGCGUAAAGCGCGGGCAGGCGGUGCUUGAAGUCUGAUGUGAAAGCGCCCGGCUCAACCGGGCGAGGCCAUUGGAAACUCGAGCACUGGAAGGCGAGAGAGGUAGGCGGAAUUCCGGGUGGAGUGGUGAAAUGCGUAGAGAUCCGGAGGAACACCAGAGGCGAAGGCGGCCUACUGGCUCGCACUUGACGCUGAGCCGCGAAAGCUAGGGGAGCGAACGGG
rnacentral:rRNA from 1 species